rnacentral:rRNA from 1 species
AUUCUGGUUGAUCCUGCCAGAGGUCAUUGCUAUUGGAGUUCGAUUUAGCCAUGCUAGUUGCACGAGUUUAGACUCGUGGCGGAAAGCUCAGUAACACGUGAUCAAACUACCCUAUGGAUUCGAAUAACCUCGGGAAACUGAGGCUAAUUCGGAAUAAGGCUCCAUCGCUGGAAUGCGUGGAGCUGGAAAUGCUCCGGUGCCAUAGGAUGUGAUUGCGGCCGAUUAGGUAGACGGUGGGGUAACGGCCCACCGUGCCGAUAAUCGGUACGGGUUGUGAGAGCAAGAGCCCGGAGAUGGAUUCUGAGACAAGAAUCCAGGCCCUACGGGGCGCAGCAGGCGCGAAAACUUUACACUGCACGACAGUGCGAUAAGGGAACUCCAAGUGCGAGGGCAUAACGUCCUCGCUUUUGUGUAUCGUAAGGUGGUACACGAAUAAGAGCUGGGCAAGACCGGUGCCAGCCGCCGCGGUAAUACCGGCAGCUCAAGUGAUGACCAAUUUUAUUGGGCCUAAAGCGUCCGUAGCCGGCCAGACAGGUCCGUCGGGAAAUCUGCUCGCUCAACGAGCAGGCGUCCGGCGGAAACCCGCUGGCUUGGGGCCGGAAGAUCCAAGGGGUACGUCUGGGGUAGGAGUGAAAUCCUGUAAUCCUAGACGGACCACCGAUCGCGAAAGCACCUUGGAAGGACGGACCCGACGGUGAGGGACGAAAGCUAGGGUCACGAACCGGAUUAGAUACCCGGGUAGUCCUAGCUGUAAACGAUGCUCGCUAGGUGUGGCACAGGCUA